rnacentral:lncRNA from 1 species
CUUGAAACCAGACGUCCUCCCAACUAGCAGCCAGGCUGCCAGCUGAAACAAGUGUGACCAGGUUGGAGAAACAGGGAGAGACAGUCUUAGCCAACCUGAUUUCUUUCUCAGAAAAGAG